rnacentral:lncRNA from 1 species
AUGGUUUUCAGUUUUCACCCAACAACACCAUCUUCAUCUCCUUCUUAUUCAUGUUGUUCUUCAAUCUCCUCUCCUCUAUACAUACACAACAAAAAGAGAAUCAAAUCCAACAAACCCAAUAACAACAACGGUUUCAACAAUUUCAACAAAUCUACAAAAAAUCAACAAACCUAAAAAAUUCAAAACCCACAAAAAUCCCAAAUUAACUUCCCAGAACUAUGAAUUCUGAAUUUGUUCUCAACACCACAACCACAAACAUAUUCUCCACCUCCGGCGCCACCGCACUCGUCAAUGCCACCAUCAAUCAUUAUCUUCACAUAUUCAAACCCAUCAACAUCAUCAACAUCAACCACCAUCAGAAUCGGCGCCACCAUACUCUCUUCUUCAACAACGCUGGAUUUGACGGCGUUUGGAUUAACGAGAAUUGGUCUGGAACGUUCAGACUCCUCUUCACCGCUAACAAAACUGUCAUCGGAAUCUGGACCGUGACCGUUAACGACACCGUUAAUUGGUUCGUGAAGGAUGAAUAAUAUGAGGUUGAAGGUGAAGAUGAUGACUACGAUGGCUAUUCCUGUGUUGUGUUUUUGAGAGAAGAGAGUGGAGGAGGUAGUGUCUUGUGUUUCUAGAAUUUUUAGUGGAAGAAUGAUGAAUAUGUUAGUGAAGGGGAUGAAUAUGUUGUUUCUGGAAUUAGUCACGUUCCAUCCUUUGCCCUUACCUUUUUUUUAAUUUUUAAUUUUAAUUUUUAAAAUACACAUGUGGCUUUGCUUUUUUUAAUUUUUAAUUUUUGAGUUUUUUGUUUUUUUGUUUUAA